GCGUCUGAUUAGCUAGUUGGUGAGGUAAUGGCUCACCAAGGCGACGAUCAGUAGCCGGCUUGAGAGAGUGACCGGCCACAUUGGGACUGAGACACGGCCCAAACUCCUACGGGAGGCAGCAGUGGGGAAUAUUGCACAAUGGGGGAAACCCUGAUGCAGCGACGCCGCGUGAGUGAAGAAGUAUUUCGGUAUGUAAAGCUCUAUCAGCAGGGAAGAAAAUGACGGUACCUGACUAAGAAGCCCCGGCUAACUACGUGCCAGCAGCCGCGGUAAUACGUAGGGGGCAAGCGUUAUCCGGAUUUACUGGGUGUAAAGGGAGCGUAGGUGGUUCGGUAAGUCAGAUGUGAAAGCCCGGGGCUCAACCCCGGGACUGCAUUUGAAACUAUCGUACUAGAGUGCAGGAGAGGUAAGUGGAAUUCCUAGUGUAGCGGUGAAAUGCGUAGAUAUUAGGAGGAACACCAGUGGCGAAGGCGGCUUACUGGACUGUAACUGACACUGAGGCUCGAAAGCGUGGGGAGCAAACAGGAUUAGAUACCCUGGUAGUCCACGCCGUAAACGACUUUUACUAGGUGUCGGGGGUCAAAAGACCUCCGGUGCCGCAGCUAACGCAAUAA
rnacentral:rRNA from 1 species